rnacentral:rRNA from 1 species
UACGUAGGGGGCAAGCGUUGUCCGGAAUCAUUGGGUCGUAAAGGAGCGUGUAGGCGGUCCGGUAAGUCGGCUGAUGAAAGUCCAGGGCUCAACCCUGGGAUGCCGGUCGAUACUGCCGGACUAGAGUUCGGAAGAGGCGAGUGGAAUUCCCGGUGAUAGCGGUGAAAUGCGCAGAUAUCGGGAGGAACACCUAUGGCGAAGGCAGCUCGCUGGGACGUUACUGACGCUGAGAACGCGAAAGCGUGGGGAGCAAACAGG